rnacentral:lncRNA from 1 species
UUGUCUACUGAGCUCCACAAAUCAUUGAGUGUCUUGAGCUGUGGGUCUCUUUCCAUGGAUAUGGAUUAUGAGUAUAAGCAGUCUGUAUGUACAGAAUCUAGUUGCGGAACCCCGCAAUAUCCUGUUUUGGAAUUUAAGAGGAAGCAUCAGAAUAAUGAAUUUAGAUUGAGGGGCAUGAAAAAUCCAGACAAUUCUAUAGCAUUGACCUUGCGAAUAGCUGACCUUAGCGGUACAUAAAUGAACAAUGAUAUCUCAUGUUGUUGUUCAUUGAUUUUUACCAUUAUCAUCAAUUAUCUGCCAUUAUGUGACCAGUUUUUUUUAUUUGCAGGCCGAGUGAGAAACAUACACUUCCAAUUCUAUCUCGAAACUGACACUGCAUUAUCAGUUGCUAGUGAAAUGGUUGAACAGCUGGAGUUAGCAGACCAUGAUGUGGCUUUUAUUGCAGAUUUUAUUGAUUAUCUAAUAAGCAAAAUUAUAAAAGGCUCAAAGGCUUUGCCGGAUUUAUGUCACAAUCCUGAAACAAAUGACCGUUCUUUCAUGCCAAAUUCAUGGAAUGCAUCCCCACCUGAUCAAGAGACUGUCUCUAAUUUAACCUCUAGCGUAAAACAUCAAGAAGAUUUUGUGCAUGUUGGACAUAAUCCGCGUCAGAGUUCAGUCCCUCUCUCUCAUAUCACAUUACAGGCAAGUCCAAACUUUGCAAAUAUGGAUGAUAAAGAGUCACAAGCAUCAGCUGCUUCUGAAAUGAUGUGCGAAGAUACUGUUAUGAAGAAUGAGAUAAAGGCUGAUUAUGUUAAUUCUAAUAUCAAUGAAAUACGGCAAAAUUCGAGUGGCCUUGAUUCUGAGCUGGACUUCAGGGAUUUAUACUACGACGAGUUUAAAAUGCAGGAAAGUGAUACUGAUGUUGUCGAAUGUAUUCAACCUAAUGACAUUGCAAAAAACUGGGAGAUGACUUUGGCAGAUCUAGCUGGAGUCUCCAAAGUUAUAAGUUCGACAGGUUUGGGUUGCAAUAGUUCGCAUUUGUCCUCGACAGAUGAAGAACAGGUGGCAGAACUAACAAUGGAACUUGAUGCAAUUGAGGUACAAUAUCAGCAGUGGUUUGAAGAACUCUCGAUGAGGGGGGAAGCAGAAGUUAAUGCCAUUAGGAACAGAUGGAUCAUAGAUAAGAACCCGCCCAUGAAUUAACGAUAAGAUGAUCUUUGUCCAAAUUGUUCGACUUUCUUGAAAUAUUCUAUUUUAUAUGAUGGCUUUCAUAUGUUUUAUUUAGACAGUUAUUUUGCUUUUAAUGGAUUUUUUUUGAUUGUGCGAGUAUUAGUAUCUUUGUCUAGUCCUAGGAUAGAUUAAAAGUUAUUUCGUUGCAAUUUAGAUGACAGACUAGUUGGUUUUGCAGUUUUACAUUGUUAGGAACUUGCGAUUACAAAACAAAUGUUAUUGACCACCAUCAUCUCUUUUAGCAAAAGAGAGGGUGAAGAACUGGAACUAAAAUUCCUUCAAAUCUGAUGGAGCAAGAUUGCGAAUGAUUCUUUGUGGGUUUACAUAUGUACCUAGUUUUGCUGAGUGGAAAGCUGCAUCUACAUUUCCGUGAAUGGUGGGAUGUUCACUGAAAUUGACAAGUUGCCGACACAAAUUCAUGAGGCUUCUCUGGAAGAGGGGACCCCCCUUUGAAAAUGAAGCUUGGUGAGUUUGGAAAUAGGCCUACAACUACUAUUGGUUCUGUUUUUCUUCUGAUGUGGGUUGUUAACUACGUAUAGAUAGCAGUUGGUGAAAUAGCACGGAUCUAUUUUCUGGUACAUUCUUAAAAGGCUCAUCAACGGAGUUAAUUGACUGCUUAUUAGCCAUAUUUCCUGUGUUACAGGGUUGCCCGCUAAGGCAACUCCUGAGGUCAUGAUGUUCCACUCUCUGUUAGUGUUCCAAGUUGCAAUGUGCUGUACUGCUUUUCGAGAUCUACCCUUUCCAGGUCAAAUAUAAGUCGCUUGCAAUAUGUAUACAACAUGGUUUGCUUGCUGUACUGCUUUUUGAGAUCUAUCCUGCCGAGGUCAAAGAUAAGUUGCUUGUAGUUUUACGAAGAACUAUCUGUAUUCUGGACUAGCUUGUAACUGCGAAGGAGUUUUUUUUCCUGGUAUUUUAAUGCAAUGAGUUGCAGGAGGACGAGAUAGGACUCUGGAGACUGGACCAGGCAGACAACAAGAGGAUGAAGGGGCUUGAGGGAAUAGGAAUCCGACCCCUCCCUGCAGGGAGCUCCGUCACGAUUUUAAGAAACCAGCUCAUCUAACAACUUUAGGUGUAUAAGGCCGGCCCGGGGUAUCAGAAAAGACCCCAACUGUAUCAUGUAUUAUUCAACAUAAACGAGCAAUCUGCUCUUGCAGUUACACAGAAGUAACUCUUAUGCAAAUUCUUCAUUAUUUUCCCCAUAUAUACAGAUUGCAGAAAAUUACCAACUCAGACCGUCGUUAAGUAACUGUCCUAUUGGGGUGUUGCAAUUUUCUCAAUUUUUUCCAGCACUUGUUAAUCUCAUGUCCAUCCAAUUGUCAACUAAUAACGUAUGAAACUCUUAAGGCCAGCUCUAGAAACGUAGACUUAAACUUAGGUAAGUGUAUUCGAUUGGGAUUUUAAUGCAUUGUUUUUAGUCUAUGGAUUUUAAUGGAUUGUAUGGGAUUUUGAUUUUGUGCAGAUUCUUGAUGAAAUGUCGCAGAGUUGAUAGGAUUUAGGUACAAUGCUUCAAAAUCCCAUUGAAUUUGAUGGAAUUUCAAAAAACUUGAAAUACACUGAAGAAUGCCACAAAAUCCAUCAUUUUAUGAAAUGAAAAAAAAUCCAUCAGCAUUUGAAUACCAUCAGAUUUUAAUGGAUUUUAAACAAUCCCAAUUGAAUACCAUUGGAUUUUAAAACAUAAUUUAAAAUCCCAAUUGAAUACCACCAGAUUUUGUGGCAUAAUUUAAAAUCCCAAUUGAAUACCUCAAGAUUUUAAUGGAUUUCAAACAAUCCCAAUCGAAUACCCUCGGAUUUCAUGAAUGCAAAAAAAUGCUUUAAAAUCCCAAUCCAAUACACCCCUCUUAGUUACAGUUCAGACAAACUAACACGAGUUAUGCAUUUACAAUUCACACGCACAUAUUAUAAAUCUAAACAAGCAGAAUACUAUAGAAAUUUAGUAUUAUUAUAUAAAACAUUACCAAGGGUCACAGGGCCACUAUAUUUUGUAGUUAUGUAAAAUUUAAGGGGAAGAAUAGUGAACGAGGGCAGGAAGCUUCGCAGAAGUUAGGAAAAUACAAGCCAUUAUUUUGAAGCAUCUAGUCAUGGCACUAGCAACUCAACAAGUGUUUUGUCCACAACUUAUAAUAGACUUCUGCUCGUUCUGUCCCAUCCAUAUGUAUACAUUUAAAUUGGCCACGUAGAUGAUUUGGUAUUCGGAUAAAUAUAGUAGGUGUAGUUGAUUUUCAUAUUAUAAAAGUUUACUAUAUUUAAUAAGUUUUAAAAUGUAACGAACUGAAAAUAACACUAAAAAAAUGGUCGGGACGGGCAUAGUGCCGUAUACCUUACCUCAGAAUUUAGGAACCUUCCUGGAAACUGUAAUUUGAUAUUCAAUACGAUACUUGUUGUCUGUAAAUACAACUUUCCGAAAUUUCCAACCUACUUUUGAUAAGCUUAAUAGAUUUCACAUGUAGCCAUUCAGUUGAUAUGUCAGCAUCGAUUCCCAGAGAAAUUAGUUAAAAUUAUUGAGACCUUGUAUUGCUAUAAAUAGCCAUUUCAUUUUGAUCAAGUCGAAUCAAAUUACGAGAUGGAAAGCCACAGAGAUACGAGAAGUGGUGAUCAGUACGAAGAUCUGUUACCUGUCAUGGCGGAGAAGCUGGACGUGGAGGCGUUCGUGUCAGAGCUGUGUGGCGGAUUCAGGCUAUUAGCUGAUCCUGCAAGCGGAUUGAUCACGUCCGAGAGUUUGAAGAAAAAUUCAGGGC